rnacentral:rRNA from 1 species
UACGUAGGGGGCAAGCGUUGUCCGGAAUCAUUGGGCGUAAAGAGCGUGUAGGCGGCCCGAUAAGUCCGCCGUGAAAGUCCAGGGCUCAACCCUGGAAUGCCGGUGGAAACUGUCGGGCUGGAGUCCGGAAGAGGCGAGUGGAAUUCCUGGUGUAGCGGUGAAAUGCGCAGAUAUCAGGAGGAACACCAAUGGCGAAGGCAGCUCGCUGGGACGGUACUGACGCUGAGCCGCGAAAGCCAGGGGAGCGAACGGG